rnacentral:rRNA from 1 species
CCUACGGGUGGCAGCAGUGAGGAAUAUUGGUCAAUGGACGAGAGUCUGAACCAGCCAAGUAGCGUGAAGGAUGACUGCCCUAUGGGUUGUAAACUUCUUUUAUAUGGGAAUAAAAUGUUCCACGUGUGGGCUUUUGUAUGUACCAUAUGAAUAAGGAUCGGCUAACUCCGUGCCAGCAGCCGCGGUAAUACGGAGGAUCCGAGUGUUAUCCGGAUUUAUUGGGUUUAAAGGGAGCGUAGGUGGUUUGUUAAGUCAGUUGUGAAAGUUUGCGGCUCAACCGUAAAAUUGCAGUUGAAACUGGCAGUCUUGAGUACAGUAGAGGUAGGCGGAAUUCGUGGUGUAGCGGUGAAAUGCUUAGAUAUCACGAAGAACUCCGAUUGCGAAGGCAGCUCACUGGACUGCCACUGACACUGAGGCUCGAAAGUGUGGGUAUCAAACAGGAUUAGAUACCCCAGUAGUC